rnacentral:rRNA from 1 species
UACAGAGGUCUCAAGCGUUGUUCGGAUUCAUUGGGCGUAAAGGGUGCGUAGGCGGCGCGGUAAGUCGGAUGUGAAAUCUCGGAGCUUAACUUCGAAACUGCAUUCGAUACUGCCGUGCUUGAGGACUGGAGAGGAGACUGGAAUUUACGGUGUAGCGGUGAAAUGCGUAGAUAUCGUAAGGAAGACCAGUGGCGAAGGCGGGUCUCUGGACAGUUCCUGACGCUGAGGCACGAAGGCCAGGGGGAGCAAAACGGGG